rnacentral:rRNA from 1 species
CAUUUUGGAGCUAGCCGUCGAAGGUGGGACAAAUGAUUGGGGUGAAGUCGUAACAAGGUAGCCGUAUCGGAAGGUGCGGCUGGAUCACCUCCUUUCUAAGGA